rnacentral:lncRNA from 1 species
CUGAUUUAGCAUUAUAUAUUGCUAGAUGUUACUAGUAGAUUGUGAGAGCUUACUAGGAUCAUGAUGCAUCGAUGAUUCUUGAUAGGUAUGAGUUGGAAUUAUUCCAAUCCAUUGAAAGAAAUUUCAAUGAUACUAUGAUAGAGAUUAUAGAAUAUCUCACUAUCAGAUAGAAUUAAACCUAUGGGGUCACACAAUAAGAAAAUUAAUCUUGGAUUGAUUCAAUUGGGCCUGUGAA